rnacentral:misc_RNA from 1 species
GAUGAAGAACGUAGCGAAAUGCGAUAAGUAAUGUGAAUUGCAGAAUUCAGUGAAUCAUCGAAUCUUUGAACGCACAUUGCGCCCGCCAGUAUUCUGGCGGGCAUGCCUGUCCGAGCGUCAUUUCAACCCUCGAACCCCUCCGGGGGGUCGGCGUUGGGGACCUCGGGAGCCCCUAAGACGGGAUCCCGGCCCCGAAAUACAGUGGCGGUCUCGCCGCAGCCUCUCCUGCGCAGUAGUUUGCACAACUCGCACCGGGAGCGCGGAGCGUCCACGUCCGUAAAACACCCAACUUCUGAAAUGUUGACCUCGGAUCAGGUAGGAAUACCCGCUGAACUUAAGCAUAUCAAUAAGCGGAGGA